ensembl:lncRNA
GUAGUGUUGUUGUUGUCACACCCAAGGUAGUGUUGUUGUCACACCCAAGGUAGUGUUGUUGUCACACCCAAGGUAGUGUUGUUGUCGUCACACCCGACCUCACGUUGUCACAACCAACGCAGCGUCGUCACCCCGCUGUGUCGGCGCCACCGUUCAGUGUCACACGUUGGUGUGUGUGCAAAUAUUGUCACGGUGGUGGUGAUCAGCGCCCGGGGAGGGCACACACACACACACACACACACAUGGAAACACACACAGGGAUGCUGACACACACAUGGAGGCACACACACACACGGGGAUGUACACACGUGAUGACACACACACACGAGGGGGAACACACACGGGGAUGCACACACACACACACAGCACACACACACAUGGACACACGGGGAUGCACACACACACACACACAUACGAGGGGUGACACACACACACGGCACACACACACACACACGGCACACACACACACACGGACACACGGGGAUGCACACACACACACACACACACGAGGGGUGAUGCACACACACGGGUUGGGGAUGCACACACCCAGGGAUGCACACACGUGAGGAUACACACACACGCACACACACACAGGCACACACACACAGAUGUGCACACACAUGGACACACACGGGGGGGUGUACACACUCAGGAAUGUACGCACACAUGGAGGGACACACACAUGGGGCACACACACACACGAACACACACACACACUCAGGAAGGUACACGCAUGAUGACACACACAGAGGGGGAACACACACAGGGAUGCACACACAGGGGGGCACACACACACACACACAGGGAUGCACACACACGGGGACACACACACAAACACACACAGGGAAGCACACACACACAUGGGGGCACACACACACAUAGGGGCACACACAUGCACACAGGGAUGUGCAUACAAGGGGACACAGGGAUGCACACACACACAGCUCACACACACAGAAGUGCACACACACACAUAGGGAUGCACACACACACACAUGGGGGCACACACACUCACAGAGAUGUGCACACAUGGGGACACAGGGAUGCACACACAUACUCACGGCUCACACACACACACACACACGGGGGCACACACACACUCACAGGGAUGUGCACACAUGGGGACACACAGGGAUGUACACACACUCACGGCUCACACACACACACAGGGGCACACACAUAUGGGGACAACACACACACGCAGGGAUGUACACACUCACACACACACACAGGGAUGCACACACAGACGGGGGCACACACACACUCACAGGGAUGUACACACACACAUGGCUCACACACACACACACAGGGGCACAGGGAUGCACACACACACAGGGGCACACACAUAGGGAUGCACACACACUCACAGGGAUGUGCACACAUGGGGACACACAGGGAUGCACACACACACACACAGCUCACACACACACAGGGAUGUACACACACAAGUGUGUGGAUGUACGGCUCACACACACACACACAGGGAUGCACACACACACACACACGGCUCACACACACACACAGGGGCACACACAUGGGGACAACACACACACGCAGGGAUGUACACACAGACACUCACAGCUCACACACACAUGCAUAGGGAUACACACAC